UACAGAGGGUGCAAGCGUUAAUCGGAGUUACUGGGCGUAAAGGGCGCGUAGGCGGUUGAAUAAGUGAGAUGUGAAAGCCCUGGGCUUAACCUAGGAAUUGCAUCUUAAACUGUUCGGCUAGAGUAUUGUAGAGGGUAGUGGAAUUUCCGGUGUAGCGGUGAAAUGCGCAGAUAUCAGGAGGAACACCGGUGGCGAAGGCGGGUCUCUGGGCCGAUACUGACGCUGAGGAGCGAAAGCGUGGGGAGCGAACAGG
rnacentral:rRNA from 1 species